rnacentral:rRNA from 1 species
UACAGAGGGUGCGAGCGUUAAUCGGAUUUACUGGGCGUAAAGAGCGCGUAGGUGAAUACCUAAGUCGAAUGUGAAAGCCCCGGGCUCAACCUGGGAACUGCAUUCGAUACUGGGUGUUUAGAGUAUAGUAGAGGGAAGUGGAAUUUCCGGUGUAGCGGUGAAAUGCGUAGAUAUCGGAAGGAACACCAGUGGCGAAGGCGGCUUCCUGGACUAAUACUGACACUGAGGCGCGAAAGCGUGGGGAGCAAACAGG